rnacentral:lncRNA from 1 species
GCUCUCUUGUUUGCUGUGAUUUAGUAUAAACAUAAAAUCCUCUUUGUGAGUCAGGGUAUCCAGGAGCCAGUCUACAGAAUGUGGACAGGCUGCAUUAUAAUUUUGUGUUAUGUUGUCCUAAAAUGCCAUUCAUUUGAAUGAGCCCUAGCAUUCCUUUAUAAUCAGUUUGUUUUUAGACUAGGAAAUCAUAUGCCUCAACACAUCUGUAAUCUCAUUAUAGGUUUCUUUGGCAAGGCAUACUUCUAAUAAAGCUAUUGUCACUAGCAUUAGUCCUCUACAUCAAGUUUUUAUAACUGUAGUCCCAUAUUUUUUGUAGUUUUCCUGCUACUUUUGUCAAACCAGAGAGUAAUUACCUAAAUUAUCUCAGGUCUCUCUUUUUUUUCUUUAAUAUUUACAUAAUGCUAACAUUUUUUAUGUCUUAUAACAUUUUCCCGUAUUUGUUAAAAUUUUACAGAACAAAGGAUCUGUUCAGCCAGUUCCUGUAAAACUCCAGGAUUCUGAGAGAAUCUGGAAGGGAGCUAGUUCAUAGCAUACAUAGUGUGCUUUGUUGUAUCUGCAUCAGCAAAGUAGAUAAGCUCAGCCUCUCUUCAUCUGAAAAGGGAACAGAGGAGCAGCAGCAGGAGACAGUGCAAUGCUUCAGGAUAUUGUGAAGAUUUCAGGCAACAAGACGACUUUCAGCUGUAUCCAACACUCCAGCUGUGUUUGAUUUGCCUCUUAAUCAGAGAUUUCAAAAAUCAGGCUCCAUCUGCUAAAGAAUUCAAAGAUC